CCUACGGGGAGCAGCAGUCGAGAAUCAUUCACAAUGGGGGAAACCCUGAUGGUGCGACGCCGCGUGGGGGAAUGAAGGUCUUCGGAUUGUAAACCCCUGUCAUGUGGGAGCAAAUUAAAAAGAUAGUACCACAAGAGGAAGAGACGGCUAACUCUGUGCCAGCAGCCGCGGUAAUACAGAGGUCUCAAGCGUUGUUCGGAAUCACUGGGCGUAAGGCGUGCGUAGGCUGUUUCGUAAGGCGUGUGUGAAAGGCGCGGGCUCAACCCGCGGACGGCACAUGAUACUGCGAGACUAGAGUAAUGGAGGGGGAACCGGAAUGCUCGGUGUAGCAGUGAAAUGCGUAGAUAUCGAGAGGAACACUCGUGGCGAGGGCGGGUGCCUGGACAUUAACUGACGCUGAGGCACGAAGGCCAGGGGAGCGAAAGGGAUUAGAUACCCGGGUAGUC
rnacentral:rRNA from 1 species